GGAUAAAAUGUUUUCGAGCGUAGAACGUGAGGAACGGUGUUCGAACAUCGAGGGAAAAAUCAAAAUCGUCCGAGCAAUCGUCUGACGCUUUCUCCCUUUGUAAGAGACAAACUACCAGUAAUAAUAUCGUCGGACAUACGCACCGAUGUAAUCUUCCUGUACCAGCGAAAAAGUACGUUCGUCGCGGAUUUCCCGAAUCAUUGGUAAACUAAUAAAACUGGCCGAUACAAAUUAAA